AUUGAACGCUGGCGGAAUGCUUUACACAUGCAAGUCGAACGGCAGCAUAGGUGCUUGCGCCUGAUGGCGAGUGGCGAACGGGUGAGUAUUACAUCGGAACGUGCCCAGACGUGGGGGAUAACGUAGCGAAAGUUACGCUAAUACCGCAUACGAUCUAAGGAUGAAAGCGGGGGACCGUGAGGCCUCGCGCGAUUGGAGCGGCCGAUGUCAGAUUAGGUAGUUGGUGAGGUAAAGGCUCACCAAGCCGACGAUCUGUAGCUGGUCUGAGAGGACGACCAGCCACACUGGGACUGAGACACGGCCCAGACUCCUACGGGAGGCAGCAGUGGGGAAUUUUGGACAAUGGACGCAAGUCUGAUCCAGCCAUUCCGCGUGCAGGACGAAGGCCUUCGGGUUGUAAACUGCUUUUGUACGGAACGAAAAAGCUCUUACUAAUACUAGGAGUCCAUGACGGUACCGUAAGAAUAAGCACCGGCUAACUACGUGCCAGCAGCCGCCGUAA
rnacentral:rRNA from 1 species